rnacentral:rRNA from 1 species
UACGUAGGGACCGAGCGUUGUCCGGAAUCAUUGGGCGUAAAGAGCGUGUAGGCGGCCACUUAAGUCCUGCGUGAAAUCUUGCGGCUCAACCGCAAGCGGUCGUGGGAAACUGGGUGGCUAGAGUGCGGGAGAGGAGAGUGGAAUUCCUGGUGUAGCGGUGGAAUGCGCAGAUAUCAGGAAGAACACCCGUGGCGAAGGCGGCUCUCUGGAACGCAACUGACGCUGAGACGCGAAAGCGUGGGGAGCAAAACAGG